rnacentral:rRNA from 1 species
GAUGAACGCUGGCGGCGUGUCUAAUACAUGCAAGUCGAGCGAAUGGAUUAAGAGCUUGCUCUUAUGAAGUUAGCGGCGGACGGGUGAGUAACACGUGGGUAACCUGCCCAUAAGACUGGGAUGACUCCGGGAAACCGGGGCUAAUACCGGAUAACAUUUUGAACCGCAUGGUUCGAAAUUGAAAGGCGGCUUCGGCUGUCACUUAUGGAUGGACCCGCGUCGCAUUAGCUAGUUGAUGAGGUAACGGCUCACCAAGGCAACGAUGCGUAGCCGACCUGGGAGGGUGAUCGGCCACACUGGGACUGAGACACGGCCCAGACUCCUACGGGAGGCAGCAGUAGGGAAUCUUCCGCAAUGGACGAAAGUCUGACGGAGCAACGCCGCGUGAGUGAUGAAGGCUUUCGGGUCGUAAAACUCUGUUGUUAGGGAAGAACAAGUGCUAGUUGAAUAAGCUGGCACCUUGACGGUACCUAACCAGAAAGCCACGGCUAACUACGUGCCAGCCGCCGCGGUAA